UGGCCUUGACAUACUAAGAACUUUCCAGAGAUGGAUUGGUGCCUUCGGGAACUUAGAUACAGGUGCUGCAUGGCUGUCGUCAGCUCGUGUCGUGAGAUGUUGGGUUAAGUCCGCAACGAGCGCAACCCUUUUCCUUAUUUGCCAGCGGGUCAUGCCGGGAACUUUUAAGGAUACUGCCAGUGACAAACUGGAGGAAGGCGGGGACGACGUCAAGUCAUCAUGGCCCUUACGGCCAGGGCUACACACGUGCUACAAUGGUCGGUACAAAGGGUUGCUACCUCGCGAGAGGAUGCUAAUCUCAAAAAGCCGAUCGUAGUCCGGAUCGCAGUCUGCAACUCGACUGCGUGAAGUCGGAAUCGCUAGUAAUCGCGGAUCAGAAUGCCGCGGUGAAUACGUUCCCGGGCCUUGUACACACCGCCCGUCACACCAUGGGGGUUUGUUGCACCAGAAGUAGGUAGUCUAACCGCAAGGAGGACGCUUACCACGGUGUGGCCGAUGACUGGGGUGAAGUCGUAACAAGGUAAGCGUAGAUGA
rnacentral:rRNA from 1 species